rnacentral:RNase_P_RNA from 1 species
AGCCGGGCGGGUAAUCGCGGGUCGCAGCCCAAGGGCGGCGACGCGAGGAAAGUCCGGACUCCACAGGGCAGGGUGGUGGCUAACGGCCACCCGGGGCGACCCGCGGGAAAGUGCCACAGAAAAGAAACCGCCGCCACCGCCAAGCGGUUGCGGUAAGGGUGAAACGGCGAGGUAAGAGCUCACCGCGCGACUGGUGACAGUCGUGGCAGGGCAAACCCCACCCGGAGCAAGGCCAAGCAGCAGGCUGGGCGGCCCGUCCUCGGCUUGCGGGUAGGCUGCUGGAGGCGCGCGGCAACGCGCGUCCUAGAGAAAUGAUUACCGGGACGUCGCUAGGUAACGAAGGCGUCUUACAGAAUCCGGCUUAUGCCCCGGCUUUU